ensembl:lncRNA
CUCUAUUACAACGUCAAAUAACUAACUAUAACCAACUAAACUAAUUAUAACUGACUGAUCCUAUAAAUAAAUAAUUAAAGAAAUGACUGAGAAUAGCUACCUGUCUGAUUAACCCUAUCACAUGGUCACAGAAAGGAAAGCUAAAAUGCUUGACAUUUGCUCAGAGUUUCCGUGAGGUUACAGCUCACGUGAGACGGACUGCGACAUUUAACCUGCCUGCUAGCUGACAUUUACUUUCUUACCUAUCUCUCUAAAGAAACAUGAGGUCAUUACGCAGUUGGUGACUAGCUACACUGCUGCUUGGUGCGCACCGCACGCUGGGGAUUAUAUAUAUCAACACAAUACAGCUAUGCUCCACCUCCAUUGACCUUAGGCGACAAGGCAGCAGAGCAGAGCCGACCUCCCUCACACAAUACCAGCUGAGCUCCACAGCUGUGCUACAGUACAUAUUUCAUACGCUUAUUUCACUUUAAACGGAGCUGGAUUCUGUUGUAAAGUGUAAUAUUUUGCGGAUAAAUAGCCGGUGUGAAACACUGUACAUUUGGUCCAGUUAUUUUCCCUCCAGCAGCCCGAGUCUCAUCACCCGGGAACGACUGAGCGAAGCUCCAGAGACAUGGAUUUUGGGAUUGGACACAUUUUUGUGGGAAUGACUCCAGCCAAACUUGCAUCUGAUUCGUAAUCAGUCUUCUGUUGUUGGAUAUAAUGCCAGAUUACUCAAGAUGACGGAGUUUAAUUAUGCGUUCAUAAACGAAAACGGGAAGGAAGUGGAUAAAACUUUGGACUGGAGUUACAUAGAUUGGCAUAAAAUGAAAACAAUCAAAGGGACAGAUGCACAGACCCAAACCCAAUGUGUACAAAGUGAGGACAAAGACACACAAACAGCUAGUCCUUUCAUAAUGCGAAUAGAUUUAGGAAGGACACCUUCCAGACUGAGGUAUUGUUCCCUUACAGAGUCUGACAGCAUGCCAGCACACUUAUUUCAGUUUGACAGACAAGCCCCAGCCCGAAUCUCCACGUCCCCCACUCUGAGGAGGAUGAGGAGCACGAGAAUCUCCUACCGAGAUCCAAGCAAGUUGGAUGGUCCUUUAGGAGAGGAUUCUCCCACUCCUGCGAGUCCCCUUUCUCCAUUAUUUCAGCAGAAAUCACCACUGGCGGUUCAGUCAGAUAGAGAGAGCAGGAACUUUGAAUCUUCAGUGAUUCAUGGGAGAGUUAGAUCACACAGAUCAAAGACCAUUGACAAUGGCGUCAUUUGCAAAAGCAAAGAGUCUUGUGAUUCAAAAGAGCCAGAUUCUGAUGAUAAUGAGAACACAACGGAAGACAAUGACCAGGUCAAGGACCCCUGUCAUAAAAGGGUGCAGGAGAGGAGGAGGAGCUCCGUGGUUGUGAGUCUUCCUGGAUUGGAUGUUUCCCCUGGAGAUUUGUUUGUGUCCAAUGGCGCUGCUGAUAUUUUAAAUAAAUCAGCCUAUUCAGACACUAAGAAAUCAAGGUGGCCCUUCUCAAGGCGUAGCACAGUAAGUGCAAAAAUUCUUAUGUUCUAA